UACGUAGGGUCCGAGCGUUGUCCGGAAUUACUGGGCGUAAAGAGCUCGUAGGUGGUUUGUCGCGUUGUCCGUGAAAACUCACAGCUCAACUGUGGGCGUGCGGGCGAUACGGGCAGACUGGAGUACUGCAGGGGAGACUGGAAUUCCUGGUGUAGCGGUGAAAUGCGCAGAUAUCAGGAGGAACACCGGUGGCGAAGGCGGGUCUCUGGGCAACAACUGACGCUGAGGAGCGAAAGUGUGGGGAGCGAACAGG
rnacentral:rRNA from 1 species